rnacentral:rRNA from 1 species
AGGACAAACGCUGGCGGAAUGUAUUAGGCAUGCAAGUCGUACGAACCUUCGGGUUAGUGGCGAACGGGUGAGUAACACGUGGGUAACCUGCCUCGUAGUGGGGAAUAACUCGCCGAAAGGCGAGCUAAUACCGCAUAACACCUCUGGUGAGAUUCCAGAUGGUAAAAGCUCCGGCGCUACGAGAGGGGCCCGCGGUCGAUUAGCUAGUUGGUGGGGUAACGGCCUACCAAGGCGACGAUCGAUAGCUGGUCUGAGAGGAUGGUCAGCCACGACGGGGGACUGAGAUACCGGCCCCGACUCCUACGGG